AACGAACGCUGGCGGCAGGCCUAACACAUGCAAGUCGAGCGAGAACUUCGGUUCUAGCGGCGGACGGGUGAGUAACGCGUGGGAACGUGCCUCUUGCUACGGAAUAGCCUCGGGAAACUGGGAGUAAUACCGUAUGUGCCCUACGGGGGAAAGAUUUAUCGGCAAGAGAUCGGCCCGCGUUGGAUUAGGUAGUUGGUGGGGUAAUGGCCUACCAAGCCGACGAUCCAUAGCUGGUUUGAGAGGAUGAUCAGCCACACUGGGACUGAGACACGGCCCAGACUCCUACGGGAGGCAGCAGUGGGGAAUCUUAGACAAUGGGGGAAACCCUGAUCUAGCCAUGCCGCGUGAUCGAUGAAGGCCUUAGGGUUGUAAAGAUCUUUCAGUGGGGAAGAUAAUGACUGUACCCACAGAAGAAGCCCCGGCUAACUCCGUGCCAGCAGCCGCAGUAA
rnacentral:rRNA from 1 species